rnacentral:misc_RNA from 1 species
GAUGAAGAACGUAGCGAAAUGCGAUACUUGGUGUGAAUUGCAGAAUCCCGUGAACCAUCGAGUCUUUGAACGCAAGUUGCGCCUCAAGCCAUUAGGUUGAGGGUACGUCUGCCUGGGCGUCACAUAUCGUUGCCUGAUGCCAGUUUCCUCGUGAUGGGUGACUGUGCAGGGCGAAUGAUGGCUUCCCGUGAGCAUUGUUGCCUCAUGGUUGGUUGAAAAUUGAGUCCUUGGUAGGGAGCGCCGUGAUAGAUGGUGGUUGAGUGACGAACGAUACCCAAUCAUGUGAGACCCCUACCGAAUUUGGCCUUCAUGACCCACAUGCGUCUUUGGAACGCUCAUGACGAGACCUCAGGUCAGGCGGGGCUACCCGCUGAGUUUAAGCAUAUCAAUAAGCGGAGGA